UUCUGCCUUCUUUCUAUCCGAAUUUCAUUUGGUGAAGGUCGUCGGCGCGCUUCUAGUUGUUAAAACUAAAAUAAAAUGAAACCGAUUGCUAUAAUAUAUAACGCAAGCAAUGCUCAGCUUAUGGGCUUGUAUCUUGUAAAAACUGAUACUAUGAUCAAUGUAAUAAAAUGAUACAAAUGCGGCAUUAGCACGGCAAUUUGAAUGGAUCACCAUUUCCACGUGGUGCAAUGUGAGACACCUGGAGACACUUAGAAAUAUUCUAGGGCAUUGAAAACAGUCUGGAGCCCGGGAUAAUAUCUAGUCGUUCCUUGAUCUCCCUUAAAAGGAAUAUUGCGAGUUAUUGGAAUACCUAUCCAAAACUGAAAUUUGAUUGAAACAGUGAAAAGGCAUUUUACAUGGCAAAAAAGGAUACCUAUUCAAAUCUGAAAUUAGUUUGAACCAGUUAAAAGGAAAUCUAAACUAUGAAAAUAUCAUCUUUCACAAGGUUUUCUACUAAUUCGGCUGGAAACACCUAAAAGAUGGUCUACCCAGCUGCCAAAUCGCAAUCUUUUAACAAAGUACUUCAUUAUAUAUAAAAUAAAUUCUUUAUUUAUGUGUACAAAAUAAAAUAUUUCAACUGUCU